GGGUCGGUAGCUCAGUUGGUUAGAGCGUCUGCCUCUUAAGCAGAAUGUCGAGGGUUCGAGUCCCUCCCGACUCACCA
rnacentral:tRNA from 1 species